UUUUUUUUGNAGUACCGGUCAGACGACCGUGCGGCGGCCCUAAUCAUGCAAGUCGGGCGGACAGAAGGAGGCUUGCUCCCGGAUGUUAGCGGGCGGACGGGUGAGUAACACGUGGGUAACCCUGCCUGUAAGACUGGGAUAACUCCGGAAACCCGGAGCUAAUACCUGAUAGUUCCUUGAACCGCAUGGNUUCAGGAUGAAAGACGGUUUCGGCUGUCACUUACAGAUGGACCCCGCGGCGCAUUAGCUAGUUGGGUGAGGUAACGGCUCACCAAGGCGACGAUGCGUAGCCGACCUGAGAGGGUGAUCGGCCACACUGGGACUGAGACACGGCCCAGACUCCUACGGGAGGCAGCAGUAGGGAAUCUUCCGCAAUGGACGAAAGUCUGACGGAGCAACGCCGCGUGAGUGAUGAAGGUUUUCGGAUCGUAAAGCUCUGUUGUUAGGGAAGAACAAGUGCAAGAGUAACUGCUUGCACCUUGACGGUACCUAACCAGAAAGCCACGGCUAACUACGUGCCAGCAGCCGCGGUAAUACGUAGGUGGCAAGCGUUGUCCGGAAUUAUUGGGCGUAAAGGGCUCGCAGGCGGUUUCUUAAGUCUGAUGUGAAAGCCCCCGGCUCAACCGGGGAGGGUCAUUGGAAACUGGGAAACUUGAGUGCAGAAGAGGAGAGUGGAAUUCCACGUGUAGCGGUGAAAUGCGUAGAGAUGUGGAGGAACACCAGUGGCGAAGGCGACUCUCUGGUCUGUAACUGACGCUGAGGAGCGAAAGCGUGGGGAGCGAACAGGAUUAGAUACCCUGGUAGUCCACGCCGUAAACGAUGAGUGCUAAGUGUUAGGGGGUUUCCGCCCCUUAGUGCUGCAGCUAACGCAUUAAGCACUCUGCCUGGGGCAGUACGUGC
rnacentral:rRNA from 1 species